rnacentral:rRNA from 1 species
GUGGAUUAGAUACCCUAGUAGUCCACGCCGUAAACGAUGAGUGCUAAGUGUUGGGGGGUUUCCGCCCCUCAGUGCUGCAGCUAACGCAUUAAGCACUCCGCCUGGGGAGUACGGUCGCAAGACUGAAACUCAAAGGAAUUGACGGGGGCCCGCACAAGCGGUGGAGCAUGUGGUUUAAUUCGAAGCAACGCGAAGAACCUUACCAGGUCUUGACAUCCCAUUGACCACUGUAGAGAUACAGUUUUCCCUUCGGGGACAACGGUGACAGGUGGUGCAUGGCCGUCGCCAACU